CUUUGCUUUUAAGCAGAAGCUCUAAUACCAUGAUGAAAUAUGGAAACAAGAAUAAAGGAAAGAAAUCUUUCAUUCAUUUCAAAUCAAUCUUUUCUCUUACAUUUCAGUAUCCUUAUAUAGACCUUAUAACAACUCUCCCUAACUGACUAACUGUCUAACAGAAUAACCACUAUUUGUUACAGCUGGUCUAACAGACUAAUCACUAUACAUUUACUGAGCUGGCUUAUCACCUCCACCACCAAGCUCAUGGAAAGUGAGCUUACAAGUCCUGAUUUACCUUCUAACGCACGCUAGUCAAUAUAAUGAUAUAAUUUUUUUCGGCUUUGACUAAGAUGGAUAUUAACUUGACGAGAUGAUCAGCGCAAAUGGAAUGAUUGAUCGAUUGUGCUCAGAUUUAAGAAAAUCAAACAACACUUUGAAAACAGAGAAGCUCAUUGGUGUCUAAUGGUAUUUGCAAGUAGUACAUGUUUUACCCUUAAUGGGUUCAAUAGGUAUAUAGUUUACUGAUUGCGUAUCUUUUAUAAGGCAUGCUGGACUGAAGAGUGAUACACCACAGCUGUUAAGCAUAUUUUGCUGAAGACUGUAGAGCAUGGGUACUAUGUUACUGUAAGAUGGGAUUGGAGUGAUAUGGAGGUUUAACAUUUCAUAAGCAAUGAGUUUCCAGAUUGU
rnacentral:lncRNA from 1 species